UGGAGAAAGGGAAAACAAAAACGGAUUCACCUCCACUUUCAUCUGCCUCUGCUUCAUCCACAGUUAAGAAAGUUGCUGCUUCUCCUAAUGCACCAAAAACUGAUACCAAGAAUGCUGUUGCUUCAGGUUUUGGAAAUGGUAAGAAGAAUCCUGUUUCUUCUUCUGGUUUGGUGAAAGCUUCGACAGGUUCUGCAGGUGGUAAGAGGAAAUCGGUAUCUUCUAAGGGCUUAGUGAUAGGUGAAAAUGAAAAUGGUAAAGGCGAAGACCCGAAUUCUGAUGAUGAUCCACCAGAAGAAAUAUUUCAGAGUCCAAACAAGAAAUUCAAAGAUGAGCGUAAGGGUCAACGUAAGAAUUUUGCAAGGAAUCCGUAUCAGUGCCCUGAUCUGAAUUACACGUUUGACUGGACCAACAAAGACAGGAAAAAUUAUGUGAAAUGGCUAGGAUUUGAGUCUGGACGACGUGCUUUAACCCGUGACGAACAAGCCUACUUGCAAACGUCUGGAGUUAAUAACACAACCGGCCAGAAAACAAAUUUUAAGCAGUACUGAUUCCAUAGUGUUCCCAGAGGAAAAACACUCUUCUCUUUUCAGCUUGGUUUCCACAGAAAUCACACGGCUCUCUCUUUACAACUGUGUUUUCCACUGAAAACACUUUCCUUAGUCAAUUG